rnacentral:rRNA from 1 species
UACGGAGGGGGCUAGCGUUGUUCGGAAUUAUUGGGCGUAAAGCGCACGUAGGCGGCUUUGUAAGUUAGAGGUGAAAGCCCGGAGCUCAACUCCGGAAUUGCCUUUAAGACUGCAUCGCUAGAAUUGUGGAGAGGUGAGUGGAAUUCCGAGUGUAGAGGUGAAAUUCGUAGAUAUUCGGAAGAACACCAGUGGCGAAGGCGACUCACUGGACACAUAUUGACGCUGAGGUGCGAAAGCGUGGGGAGCAAACAGG